ACGUAGGGGGCGAGCGUUAUCCGGAAUUACUGGGUGUAAAGGGUGCGUAGGCGGCACCGUAAGUCUGUUGUGAAAGGCGAUGGCUUAACCAUCGAAGUGCAAUGGAAACUGCGGAGCUAGAGUGCAGGAGAGGAAAGCGGAAUUCCUAGUGUAGCGGUGAAAUGCGUAGAUAUUAGGAAGAACACCAGUGGCGAAGGCGGCUUUCUGGACUGCAACUGACGCUGAGGCACGAAAGCGUGGGGAGCAAACAG
rnacentral:rRNA from 1 species